rnacentral:rRNA from 1 species
GAUGAACGCUGGCGGCGUGCCUAAUACAUGCAAGUCGAGCGAAUGGAUUGAGAGCUUGCUCUUAUGAAGUUAGCGGCGGACGGGUGAGUAACACGUGGGUAACCUGCCCAUAAGACUGGGAUAACUCCGGGAAACCGGGGCUAAUACCGGAUAACAUUUUGAACCGCAUGGUUCGAAAUUGAAAGGCGGCUUCGGCUGUCACUUAUGGAUGGACCCGCGUCGCAUUAGCUAGUUGGCGAGGUAACGGCUCACCAAGGCAACGAUGCGUAGCCGACCUGAGAGGGUGAUCGGCCACACUGGGACUGAGACACGGCCCAGACUCCUACGGGAGGCAGCAGUAGGGAAUCUUCCGCAAUGGACGAAAGUCUGACGGAGCGACGCCGCGUGAGUGAUGAAGGCUUUCGGGUUGUAAAACUCUGUUGUUAGGGAAGAACAAGUGCUAGUUGAAUAAGCUGGCACCUUGACGGUACCUAACCAGAAAGCCACGGCUAACUACGUGCCAGCCGCCGCGGUAA